GUCUUGGUAGUAUAAGAUUACCCUG
rnacentral:tRNA from 1 species